rnacentral:rRNA from 1 species
AUCGAACGCUAGCGGCAUGCCUUACACAUGCAAGUCGAACGGAGUGGCGCACGGGUGAGUAAUUAAUCGGAACGUGCCCAGUCGCGGGGGAUAACUACGCGAAAGCGUAGCUAAUACCGCAUACUAUUGGAGCGGCAGAUAUGGGAUUAGCUAGCUGGUGGGGUAACGGCUUACCAAGGCGACGAUCCGUAGCUGGUUUGCGAGGACGAGCAGCCACACUGGGAGUGAGACACGGCCCAGACUCCUGCGGGAGGCAGCAGUGGGGAAUUUUGGGCAAUGGGGGAAACCCUGAUCCAGCCAUCCCGCGUGUGCGAUGAAGGCCGUCGGGUGGUAAAGAACUUUUGGCAGGAAAGCGGUACCUGCAGAAUAAGCACCGGCUAACUACGUGCCAGCAGCCGCGGUAAUAC